rnacentral:lncRNA from 1 species
ACCCCGCAAAACAAGGCUGCCAUGUGUAAGCCGCUGAUGCAGAAUCGAGGCGUCUCCUGCAAGGUGGAGAUGAAGUCCAAAGGGAGUCAAACAGAAGAGUGGAAGCCACAGGUGAUUGUGCUGCCCAUCCCAGUGCCCAUCUUCGUGCCAGUGCCUAUGCAUCUGUACUGCCAGAAAGUCCCGGUGCCUUUCUCGAUGCCUAUCCCGGUGCCUGUGCCCAUGUUCUUGCCCACUACCUUGGAGAGCACAGACAAGAUUGUAGAGACCAUUGAGGAGCUGAAGGUGAAGAUCCCUUCCAACCCCUUGGAGGCCGACAUCCUGGCUAUGGCAGAAAUGAUUGCAGAGGCUGAGGAGUUAGACAAGGCCUCAUCUGACCUUUGUGGUAUGCCAUAGAUGGUGGCGAUGAGGGAGACAGGGUGCUACCAGCGUGUCUCUGCCCGAGGGGGAGCUAUUGAUGAUCUUGGUGCCUAGUAGAAUGGGAGGAUAGUUGGGAUCAGCCCCUGAAAGCUUGUGAGGGUGCUAGCAGGAGCUUGUAGCCACUGAGCCAACUUCUCUGCUUCCCAGAUCUUGUGAGCAACCAGAGUGCAGAGGGACUCCUGGAAGACUGUGACCUGUUUGGGCCUGCUCGAGAUGAUGUCCUGGCCAUGGCAGUCAAGAUGGCCAAUGUCUUGGAUGAGCCUGGGCAAGACUUGGAGGCAGACUUCCCUAAGAGUGAGUAAGAUUGGAGCCGUGCCCACUGGGUAUGGUAGCAUUCGUGCCAUCAGGAAGGGAAUGUUCCUUGUGUCCCUGAGUAUGACCCUGAAAAGUGUUCAUUGUGAUUCUAAGACAGAAGGUUCUCACAGGGAGCAGUGCCAGAGAUACCAGGACAGGUGCAUUCUUUUAGACUUCUGAGUCAUGCUUUUUUUUUUUUUUUUUUUU